rnacentral:rRNA from 1 species
GAUGAACGCUGGCGGCGUGCCUAAUACAUGCAAGUCGAGCGAACAGACGAGGAGCUUGCUCCUCUGACGUUAGCGGCGGACGGGUGAGUAACACGUGGAUAACCUACCUAUAAGACUGGGAUAACUUCGGGACACCGGAGCUAAUACCGUAUAAUAUAUUGAACCGCAUGGUUCAAUAGUGAAAGACGGCUUUGCUGUCACUUAUAGAUGGAUCCGCGCCGCAUUAGCUAGUUGGUAAGGUAACGGCUUACCAAGGCAACGAUGCGUAGCCGACCGGAGAGGGGGGUAGGCCACACGAGAAGUGGGACGGGGACAAGACGCCUAAGGGAGGCAGCAGUAGGGAAUCUGCCGCAAUGGUCGAGAGCCUGACGGAGCAACGCCACGCGAGUGAUGACGGUCUUCCGAUCGUAAAACUCUGUUAUGAGUGAAGAACAAAUGUGGAAGUUACUAUGCACGUCUUGACGGUACCUAAUCAGAAAGCCACGGCUAACUACGUG